GGGCGCGUAGCUCAGCCGGUUAGAGCGCAUCACUGAUAAUGAUGAGGUCCCUGGUUCGAGUCCAGGCGCGCCCA
rfam:Parcubacteria group bacterium CG1_02_44_65 cg1_0.2_scaffold_8782_c, whole genome shotgun sequence.